UACGUAGGGGGCAAGCGUUGUCCGGAAUUAUUGGGCGUAAAGCGCGCGCAGGCGGUUUCUUAAGUCUGCUGUGAAAGCCCACGGCUCAACCGUGGAGGGUCAUUGGAAACUGGGGAACUUGAGUGCAGAAGAGGAAAGUGGAAUUCCAAGUGUAGCGGUGAAAUGCGUAGAGAUUUGGAGGAACACCAGUGGCGAAGGCGACUUUCUGGUCUGUAACUGACACUGAGGCGCGAAAGCGUGGGGAGCGAACAGG
rnacentral:rRNA from 1 species